ensembl:lncRNA
AUGACAAAUAAAAAUUCCGCUGAUUCAUGCAUUCAUUAUGCAAGCACUCCAUUCCAGCUUGCUGCCCAGUGUUGCUUAACCCCCCCCGUCUGCCACAACCCGACCAAGCGCCGCCCUGGCAGCAUAUAUAUGAGCAGCUGCCAGUCUCACAUGGAGGUCAGACAUCGAUCCACUCUGAGACAAGACAGCGAUCACAGGUGCCGGUUUUAUCUACGAUUUUACAGAAGUAAGAAGGAAGCAGCUUUACGAGCCACUGGAACCGGAUUAGAGAUGAAGGUUUUGACAACCGCCCUCCUCUUUGUUCUUUUGUCUACAAUUGCAUCCACUAAGCCGAUUGGCCGGCGUCGACAUCAUGGUACCAACAUUGCUGGCAAAGACUCGACACGGGGACGGCCGAGCCGGCAUUGGUUUUCUUGGCGGCCUCGUGACUCGUCAUCGGAGUCCAAUCAGUCCUCGGACUCUUCCUCCGAAUCCAGCGAAUCCUCAGAGAGUCGGUCUUCAGAGGAGUCUGCCGAGGUCACUACACCAGAUGGGAGCACGUUCACUUCUGAACCAGACACAACGAUUUCAGACGAGCCAACUGUGGAUGCGUCAACGCCCCCGGCAGCAACACGGGCCACGGCCGUUCCCGGGACGUCACCAGGAUGCGUGACUCUGGAUUUUACCGAGGGCUUUACCACAAAUGUUCCCGUCACAGAAAACCGAGGAGACAACUAA